CUCUCUCUCAUUUCUCAGUCCCGAUCCCCGACUCUCAAGUUCUCUCUAACAUCUAUCUCUCCUCUCUCAAGUUCUCUCGUCAUCGCAUUCACUCACCACCGUCUGUUCCCUCCUCAGGAUCUCGUCGCCGCCGUCGCCCCCGCUCUCCCCCUCGACGUCGAUCUCAGCUCCGGCGAGGGUUUCGACGUCGUCUCCGUCGCUUUCGGCCAGGUGACACUUCACCACACUAGAUCUGAUCGAAAAGUAUUCUCUUUUGUGUAAUUUUGAGUUCAAUAGUUGACUGAUAGAGUUGUAGCACUAAAUGCUCUCGUCUCUUCCAUCGAAACCCUAAAUCUGACCUAGGGUUUAGGUCCAUGAUCUUCGCGGCUAAAGUUUGAUUUGGUGGGUGGCAUGAAGAGAGGAUUUGAGACAUUGUGGGAGGAGACUACGAUCAGCGAAGAAUUAAAGAUCUACUUUGUCAACUUUUCUGGAUUAUGUUACUUAGGGUUUGAAUUUAUACUUUUGCACAUACUUCCAAUGUCUCACAGGAGAAGAAUAUAUAUCUGAUAUAUUAUUCUUUAUCUGAGGUUGAUUUUGUCACCUUCUUCCUAAGUUCUGUCCUUGAUAAUCUAACAUCAACAAUUGUCAUGGUCUCCUUGUUGUGAAAACUAGUGCCUCCAUCAGAAUACAGAAAGACUCAAUAAAUUCUUCGAGAUAUGAAGUUGGACACAUUGGAGAGAAAGGAGGAGAAGACUUGAAGGAUAAAUAGAGGAUUCUAGAUAUGGUUUCUUUUAAUAGUUUAUGUUGUGGUAAUUUGACUUGUUGUAGCAAAUCAUGAUUAUCAGCUAUCUAUAGCAUGUUGUAUUUUAAAUGAA